rnacentral:rRNA from 1 species
UACAGAGGAGCCAAGCGUUGUUCGGAAUCAUUGGGCUUAAAGCGCACGUAGGCGGUCAUGUAAGUGUCUUGUGAAAUCUCACGGCUCAACCGUGAAACUGCUCGACAAACUGCAUGACUUGAGGUCGGUAGAGGCGCCUGGAACCCUAGGUGGAGCGGUGAAAUGCGUAGAUAUCUAGGGGAACGCCGGAAGCGAAAGCGGGGCGCUGGGCCGAUUCUGACGCUGAGGUGCGAAAGCGUGGGGAGCAAACAGG